CCCCUAGAUGUUCUGGGCCGCACGCGCGCUACACUGACCAGUGCAACAAGCAUCCGUCCUUGGCCGACAGGCUCGGGCAAUCUUUGAACGCUGGUCGUGAUGGGGAUAGACUUUUGCAAUUUUUGGUCUUCAACGAGGAAUUCCUAGUAAACGCAAGUCAUCAACUUGCAUUGAUUACGUCCCUGCCCUUUGUACACACCGCCCGUCGCACCUACCGAUUGAAUGGUCCGGUGAAGCCUCCGGAUUGGCGCGCACCUCGGUGCCGCCGAGAAGUUGGCUAAACCUUACCAUUUAGAGGAAGGUGAANUCGUAACA
rnacentral:rRNA from 1 species